AGAGUUUGAUCAUGGCUCAGAAUCAACGCUGGCGGCGCGCCUAACACAUGCAAGUCGAACGAGAAAGUGGAGCAAUCCAUGAGUAAAGUGGCGUACGGGUGAGUAACACGUGGAUCAUCUACCUUUUAGUGAGGAAUAACCAUGGGAAACCGUGGCUAAUACCGCAUAAGCCCGAGAGGGGAAAGUCGAAAGACGCUGAAAGAGGAGUCCGCGGCCGAUUAGCUAGUUGGCAGGGUAAAAGCCUACCAAGGCAAAGAUCGGUAGCCGGCCUGAGAGGGCACGCGGCCACACUGGCACUGAAACACGGGCCAGACUCCUACGGGAGGCAGCAGUGGGGAAUCUUGCACAAUGGGGGAAACCCUGAUGCAGCGACGCCGCGUGAGCGAUGAAGCCCUUCGGGGUGUAAAGCUCUUUCGGCAGGGAAGAUAGUGACGGUACCUGCAGAAGCAGCUGCGGCUAACUACGUGCCAGCAGCCGCGGUAAUACGUAGGCAGCAAGCGUUGUUCGGAGUUACUGGGCGUAAAGGGUGUGUAGGCGGUUGUUUAAGUUUGGUGUGAAAUCUCCCGGCUCAACUGGGAGGGUGCGCCGAAUACUGAAUGACUUCGAGUGCGGGAGAGGAAAGUGGAAUUCCUGGUGUAGCGGUGAAAUGCGUAGAUAUCAGGAGGAACACCGGUGGUGUAGACGGCUUUCUGGACCGUAACUGACGCUGAGACACGAAAGCGUGGGUAGCAAACAGGAUUAGAUACCCCCGUAGUCC
rnacentral:rRNA from 1 species